rnacentral:rRNA from 1 species
UGAGGAAUAUUGGGCAAUGCCCGCAAGGGUGACCCAGCAACGCCGCGUGGAGGAUGAAUGUCGUAAGAUUGUAAACUCCUGUUAGAGGGGAAGAAUAGUACCGGUUGGACCGGUAUAUGACUGUACCCUCAGAGAAAGCCCCGGCUAACUACGUGCCAGCAGCCGCGGUAAUACGUAGGGGGCAAGCGUUGUCCGGAUUUACUGGGUGUAAAGGGCGCGCAGGCGGGAUAAAAAGUCAGUGGUGAAAUCCUACAGCUUAACUGUAGAACUGCCUUUGAUACUUUUAUUCUUGAGUUCGGGAGAGAGAGACGGAAGUCCAGGUGUAGUGGUGAAAUACGUAGAUAUCUGGAAGAACACCAGUUGCGAAGGCGGUCUCUUGGUCCGAUACUGACGCUGAUGCGCGAAAGCGUGGGGAGCAAAC